rnacentral:rRNA from 1 species
CCUACGGGGUGCAGCAGUGGGGAAUAUUGCACAAUGGGGGAAACCCUGAUGCAGCGACGCCGCGUGAGUGAAGAAGUAAUUCGUUAUGUAAAGCUCUAUCAGCAGGGAAGAAAAUGACGGUACCUGAGUAAGAAGCCCCGGCUAACUACGUGCCAGCAGCCGCGGUAAUACGUAGGGGGCAAGCGUUAUACGGAUUUACUGGGUGUAAAGGGUGCGUAGGCGGCAGUGCAAGUCUGAGGUGAAAGGCGCGGGCUCAACCCCCGGACUGCUCUGGAAACUGUACGGCUGGAGUGCAGGAGAGGUAAGUGGAAUUCCUGGUGUAGCGGUGAAAUGCGUAGAUAUUAGGAGGAACACCAGUGGCGAAGGCGGCUUACUGGACUGUAACUGACGUUGAGGCUCGAAAGCGUGGAGAGCAAACAGGAUUAGAUACCCCAGUAGUC